rnacentral:pre_miRNA from 1 species
UCUUAUGGAUAAGCAAACAAAGUGGCUUCUUGAGAUGGAAUCUACUCCUGGUGAAGAUGCUGCGAA